rnacentral:rRNA from 1 species
CCAGACUCCUACGGGAGGCAGCAGUGGGGAAUAUUGCACAAUGGGGGGAACCCUGAUGCAGCAACGCCGCGUGAGUGAAGAAGGCAUUCGUGUCGUAAAACUCUGUAGUAGGGGAAGAAAGAAAUGACAGUACCCUAAAAGAAAGCCCCGGCUAACUACGUGCCAGCAGCCGCGGUAAUACGUAGGGGGCAAGCGUUAUCCGGAAUAACUGGGCGUAAAGGGUGCGCAGGUGGUUUAACAAGUUAGUGGUGAAAGGCAUAGGCUCAACCAAUGUAAGCCAUUAAAACUGUUUAACUUGAGUGCAGGAGAGGAAAGUGGAAUUCCUAGUGUAGCGGUGAAAUGCGUAGAUAUUAGGAGGAAUACCAGUGGCGAAGGCGACUUUCUGGACUGCAACUGACACUGAGGCACGAAAGCGUGGGGAGCAAACAGGAUUAGAUACCCUGGUAGGU